rnacentral:ncRNA from 1 species
UAUUAGAAAGCCAAACCUCGUGUGAGCGAGGGACGGAAAGCUGCGGGUCUUUCGUAAGAUCCAAGCAGUCGCAGGAAGCAAAAGACAGCCGAGUUGCCGCAG